rnacentral:rRNA from 1 species
UACGUAGGGUGCAAGCGUUAAUCGGAAUUACUGGGCGUAAAGCGUGCGCAGGCGGUUUUGUAAGUCAGAUGUGAAAUCCCCGGGCUUAACCUGGGAACUGCGUUUGAAACUACAAGGCUAGAGUGUGACAGAGGGGGGGUGGAAUUCCACGUGUAGCAGUGAAAUGCGUAGAGAUGUGGAGGAACACCGAUGGCGAAGGCAGCCCCCCUGGGUUAACACUGACGCUCAGGCACGAAAGCGUGGGGAGCAAACAGG